UUUGGGGUCACCGAGGUCUUGGGGUCACCAAAUUUUGGGGACUUUGGGGUCUUUUGGGGACUUUGGGGUUUUGGGGCCAUUCAAGUGCAUUUUGGGGCCAUCCAAGCGCAUUUUGGGUCAAUUCAACCAUUUUUCGGCAUCCCCGAGCUCUUGGUGUCCCCGAGGGCUCUCGGUGCGUUGGGGCUGCCCCCAAACUUUGCGUUUCUCACCCCAAAUUUUGGGGAUAUUGGGGUCUUUUGAGGACAUUCAAGUGCGUUUUGGGGGAAUUCAAGUGCGUUUUGGGGUCACCGAGGUCUUGGGGACGCCAAAUUUUGGGGACUUUGGGGUCUUUUGGGGACUUUGGGGUUUUGGGGACAUUCAAGUGCAUUUUGGGGAAAUUCAAGCGUCUUUUGGGGUCCCUGAGGUCUUGGGGACACCAAAUUUUGGGGAUUUUGGGGUCUUUUGGGGAUGUUCAAGCGUCUUUUGGGGUCACCGAGGUUUUGGGGACGCCAAAUUUUGGGGACUUUGGGGUCUUUUGGGGACAUUCAGGUGUCUUUUGGGAACACCGAGGGGUCUUGGGGACACCAAAUUUUGGGGAUUUUGGGGUCUUUUGGGGAAAUCAAGUGUGUUUUGGGGUCACCGAGGUCUUGGGGACACCAAAUUUUGGGGACAUUCAAGUGUCUUUUGGGGACUUUGGGGUCUUUUGGGGACUUUGUGAUUUUGGGGCCAUCCAAGCGCAUUUUGGGUCAAUUCAAGCCUUUUUCGGCAUCCCCGAGCUCUUGGUGUCCCCGAGGGCUCUCGGUGCGUUGGGGCCGCCCCCAAACUUUGCGUUUCUCACCCCAAAUUUUGGGGACUUUGGGGUCUUUUGGGGACAUUCAAGUGUGUUUUGGGGUCACCGAGGUCUUGGGGACACCAAAUUUUGGGGACAUUCAAGUGUCUUUUGGGGACUUUGGGGUCUUUUGGGGACUUUGUGAUUUUGGGGCCAUCCAAGCGCAUUUUGGGUCAAUUCAAGCCUUUUUCGGCAUCCCCGAGCUCUUGGUGUCCCCGAGGGCUCUCGGUGCGUUGGGGCCGCCCCCAAACUUUGCGUUUCUCACCCCAAAUUUUGGGGACAUUGGGGUCUUUUGGGGACAUUCAAGGGGGUUUUGGGAACACCGAGGGGUCUUGGGGACACCAAAUUUUGGGGAUUUUGGGGUCUUUUGGGGCAAUUCAAGUGUCUUUUGGGGUCCCCGAGGUCUUGAGGACACCAAAUUUUGGGGACUUUGGGGUCUUUUGGGGACUUUGGGGUUUUGGGGCCAUCCAAGUGCGUUUUGGGGCAGUUCAAGCCUCUUUUGGGGUCCCUGAGCUCUUGGGGAUGCCAAAUUUUGGGGAUUUUGGGGUCUUUUGGGGACAUUCAAGUGUGUUUUGGGGUCACCGAGGUCUUGGGGACACCAAAUUUUGGGGCCUUUGGGGUCUUUUGGGGACAUUUGGGGCCUUUUGGGGCCUCCUGGGGACAUUUGGGGUCCUUUAGGGACAUGGGGGUCCCUUGGGGUCAUUUGGGGUCGUUUGGGGGCUUUUGGGGUCGUUUGGGGUCUCUUGGGGACAUCUGGGACCUAUUGGGGACACAGGGGUCCUUUGGGGACAUUUGGGACCUCUUGGGGUCCCUGGGGACAUGGGGGGCUUUUUGGGGUC
rnacentral:lncRNA from 1 species